UCCAGACAUAUGGAGGAUUGACAGACAGUUAACCAAAACGCAGCAGCUAGUUUAACAAAACUAACAGCUCUUUCAAGAUUAUGUGGUAGGUGGUGCAUGGCCGUUCUUAGUUCGUGAAGUGAUUCGUUCGCCCAAUCGCAUUUCCAAACAACUAACAACUCAGAAUGCUGGGCAAUAGGACGUUUAAAGUGGCUCCUUACACCUUACAAAGGAAUGGCUGAUGAGAAACAACUCGAUCCGCUCAGCGUUCUAUUGGAAUGCAACGGACGUGAUUGCAAGCUUUUGUUUUGAGUUGCGGUUUUACUGAAAGACUCUACAAUCCGCAAACUUCAAUGAUCUGAAGUAGAAAACCUACAUGCUACAGUGAGAUAUUGUGGAUAAACUUAAGCGACCGCUCCAACAUUGUGUUUUUUUAAAACUGAUGAAGGUUGCGGCAAUAACAGGUCUGUGAUGC
rnacentral:rRNA from 1 species